rnacentral:rRNA from 1 species
AGACCCGAAACCCGGUGAUCUAGCCAUGGGCAGGUUGAAGGUUGGGUAACACUAACUGGAGGACCGAACCGACUAAUGUUGAAAAAUUAGCGGAUGACCUGUGGCUGGGGGUGAAAGGCCAAUCAAACCGGGAGAUAGCUGGUUCUCCCCGAAAGCUAUUUAGGUAGCGCCUCGUGAAUUCAUCUCCGGGGGUAGAGCACUGUUUCGGCUAGGGGGCCAUCCCGGCUUACCAACCCGAUGCAAACUGCGAAUACCGGAGAAUGUUAUCACGGGAGACACACGGCGGGUGCUAACGUCCGUCGUGAAGAGGGAAACAACCCAGACCGCCAGCUAAGGUCCCAAAGUCAUGGUUAAGUGGGAAACGAUGUGGGAAGGCCCAGACAGCCAGGAUGUUGGCUUAGAAGCAGCCAUCAUUUAAAGAAAGCGUAAUAGCUCACUGGUCGAGUCGGCCUGCGCGGAAGAUGUAACGGGGCUAAACCAUGCACCGAAGCUGCGGCAGCGAACGUAUCACUUAAAGCGAUUCAGCGGGUUACGAUUGACGGAGCGAAGCGACGUCAAAGCGUAUACAAAGUCGAGUCGGUUUAAGGAUACGUUCGUUGGGUAGGGGAGCGUUCUGUAAGCCUGUGAAGGUGGCCUGUGAGGGUUGCUGGAGGUAUCAGAAGUGCGAAUGCUGACAUAAGUAACGAUAAAGCGGGUGAAAAGCCCGCUCGCCGGAAGACCAAGGGUUCCUGUCCAACGUUAAUCGGGGCAGGGUGAGUCGACCCCUAAGGCGAGGCCGAAAGGCGUAGUCGAUGGGAAACGGGUUAAUAUUCCCGUACUUGGUGUUACUGCGAAGGGGGGACGGAGAAGGCUAUGUUGGCCGGGCGACGGUUGUCCCGGUUUAAGCGUGUAGGUGUGUGUUCCAGGUAAAUCCGGUUCACUUUAACACUGAGGCGUGAUGACGAGGCACUACGGUGCUGAAGCAACAAAUGCCCUGCUUCCAGGAAAAGCCUCUAAGCAUCAGGUAACAUCAAAUCGUACCCCAAACCGACACAGGUGGUCAGGUAGAGAAUACCAAGGCGCUUGAGAGAACUCGGGUGAAGGAACUAGGCAAAAUGGUGCCGUAACUUCGGGAGAAGGCACGCUGACACGUAGGUGAAGUGAUUUACUCACGGAGCUGAAGUCAGUCGAAGAUACCAGCUGGCUGCAACUGUUUAUUAAAAACACAGCACUGUGCAAACACGAAAGUGGACGUAUACGGUGUGACGCCUGCCCGGUGCCGGAAGGUUAAUUGAUGGGGUCAGCGCAAGCGAAGCUCCUGAUCGAAGCCCCGGUAAACGGCGGCCGUAACUAUAACGGUCCUAAGGUAGCGAAAUUCCUUGUCGGGUAAGUUCCGACCUGCACGAAUGGCGUAAUGAUGGCCAGGCUGUCUCCACCCGAGACUCAGUGAAAUUGAACUCGCUGUGAAGAUGCAGUGUACCCGCGGCAAGACGGAAAGACCCCGUGAACCUUUACUAUAGCUUGACACUGAACAUUGAGCCUUGAUGUGUAGGAUAGGUGGGAGGCUUUGAAGCGUGGACGCCAGUCUGC